rnacentral:rRNA from 1 species
AUUGAACGCUGGCGGCAGGCCUAACACAUGCAAGUCGAGCGGAUGAAGGGAGCUUGCUCCUGGAUUCAGCGGCGGACGGGUGAGUAAUGCCUAGGAAUCUGCCUGGUAGUGGGGGAUAACGUCCGGAAACGGGCGCUAAUACCGCAUACGUCCUGAGGGAGAAAGUGGGGGAUCUUCGGACCUCACGCUAUCAGAUGAGCCUAGGUCGGAUUAGCUAGUUGGUGGGGUAAAGGCCUACCAAGGCGACGAUCCGUAACUGGUCUGAGAGGAUGAUCAGUCACACUGGAACUGAGACACGGUCCAGACUCCUACGGGAGGCAGCAGUGGGGAAUAUUGGACAAUGGGCGAAAGCCUGAUCCAGCCAUGCCGCGUGUGUGAAGAAGGUCUUCGGAUUGUAAAGCACUUUAAGUUGGGAGGAAGGGCAGUAAGUUAAUACCUUGCUGUUUUGACGUUACCAACAGAAUAAGCACCAGCUGACUUGGUG